ACACAACACAGGCAUAAACAUGAAUCAAAUCUGGAUUCUGUGUUUUGCGGUGCUGAUCAUCACCAUACCAUUUUCAACUCAGAAUAGCGAUGCUCAGAAGUCAGAAGGCAGUAGCUCAGCAUCCUCUAGUACCUCCACAAAUUCCAGCGCUGUAGGAUUGGGUCCUGUGCCCACCACACUGUACCUGCUGAUUCCUGCAGCCACCCUGGGCUUCAUCCACUGUAGAUCCUAGUGAUGGAUGGAGAGCGUUCGCCAUAGAUGACCAAGACAGAGACAGUGGCGAAAUGGACAGCCAUUCACCCAAAGAGCAAACUUUUCCACAAAUCUUGAAGACAGAAGAUGCCGCAGCUCACAUUUUUGUAAUGGAAUUUAAGUAAUGAAAAUGAAUAAAGUUUGGAGAAUUUCUCCAAAAGGGAUUUGUUUGGUUACACCUGUUUUAGAGCGCUUGAAAGACACCUGCAACUCAGGGUCCUGCUACAGAGCUCUUUGUCGCGUUUUGCUCCAAAGUCACUGUUUCAGCUCACCUAUGGCAAAUUCUCUUGGAAGAGUUUGAUUCUCCUAUGCUCAGUAUAUGAUUGAGAUUAAGCCGGUUUUAAAAAACUCCAUUACUUAAAUCAGUAAUCACAUUUCAAUUUUAGCCCAAUUUCCAUUUCUGUAAUGACAUUAUGGGUACUACAAAUGUAUAACUUUACUAUAAAUGUGAUCAAUGUACUACAUCUCAGAAUGUGUCUGUAUGCACAAUUAAAAUAGAUGAUUGUAUGUUUGUGCCAUUUUUUCAUUCAAAUCAGUAUUAAUGUUUUCUCCUAAGAUAUAUAAUCAGAGUUUCAUAAUAGUUUUUCCCCAUGUGUUUUAUUCAAGAAUUAGAUGAGUACAAAUACACUUAGAAUAAUCAGGAUUCUCCAUGUUUUCUCAUGCCAACAACAAAGUAAACAAAGCAAAAGAGAGUUUUGUAAUAGUUUUAGUAAGGUAAUAGGACGUAGAGUAGAAAAUGCAGGUAUCCUAGAUUGAAAUUUAUUAGAGAAUUUAGUGUAUUUGACAUUUUAAAAACUGCUUUAAGACAUGAAGGCACUGUACUGAUAGAGGAUGUGAUCCUCCUCUUAAACCAAUGAGCAGGUGUUUAAACACGUCACACAUCAGUCACUGUGAGAAUAAAACUCCCCUCCCGCAUCACUGAGCACAGACUCUCUGCCUCACAGAAAACAUCUCUUGAAGAAAAAGAAGAAAAAGGCAUAAUCAUGAAUAAAAUACUGGCAUUGUGCAUCGGGUUACUGAUUAUAACCUUACCUUUUUCAUCUCAGGAGGACAAAACUUCAGAUAAACCAUCUAUCCCCACUUCAGCUGCUGCACCUAAAAAUCCUGUGGCCAGUGCUGCAGGAUUGGGUCCGCUGCCCACCACGCUGUGCCUUCUGAUCCCAGCAGCCACCCUGGGCUUCAUCCACAGUAGAUCCUAAACUGGCAGGAUGACCAAGAGGAGCAACGAUAGAUAGCCAGUCACAUGAAGACCAAAGUUUUCCAAAAUUCUUGACGAUAGAAGACACA